GCCCCAAGCUGCUAGUUUAUUACGACGCGGCUUCCUUCCUUGGCCUGACCUGAGCUGCUGUCUAUCUAUGCCUCCUCCCCCUCUCUCCCCGUUUCCAUUUGCUGCUGCUUCUUCUGGAGCUUCUCCUCUCCUGCCUUCCAGUCCCUGCAAGACGCGCGACGCGCGGCAAAGGUGGGUCAAUGCGUGUGUUCGAGUUCUUUGCCGCUUUGGUUGAUACUGUUGCUCGUCUCAUGGACAAGUGUUGUUGUUGAUUUUUCAUGAUAUGCACGAGCGGGGGUUUGAUUUCCGUCGCCGCGGCCUGAGACGAGGGUAGAGCGGAUGUGUGUUUCCGUGCAAGGUGAGAUCAACCUGUCAACAUUAGCCAGGGCGUACGUGCAUGCGCUUGUGCGUCCCGGAGGCCAAGAGGAAGGAAGGAAGGAAGGAAGGGAGGAGGACGGCGCAUCCACGAUUCUGUCCCGUCCCGGCGAGGCAAUCGAUCGACGCCAUCGGUGGUGCGGUCGUCAUCAAGCGCACAGAUGGGGAUGCUGCCAUUGCCGGCGCCGGCGGCGACCGACGCUAGCUAGCUGGAGGCGGGUGGGCGUUUGCGUCUUACUCUGGGCGGCUGGCCCUUCAUCUGCAUGUCAGGCAGCCUGCAAUGCAAAUCGGCUUACUAAUGCUUACGAAUAAGCUGGACAAUUCUCAGAAAAAUGGAAAAAGAACCCACUUGUCACGGGCUUACGGUAAACAUCAAUAGUAGCCUGAUUCUAGUAUAGCCAGAAGAUAUGUUGGCAUCUGAUAUUCUGACAUCACAUGAAUGUUCAUACUUAAUUUAGGCCUACCAAACAAAGCUUCCUCACAAGGAUUUCAUUAUCUUUGGCACAAGGUCAGUCUCUGUGCAUGUGUCUGUUGCUUGGAUCAUAUCCACAAGUACAGUUCUACUCAAGCAAGGGCUGCAAACAAACCUUUUUGCCCUGUUUGGAAUGGAUACUUUACUAUGGAUACCGAUGCCAGGUCCUUAUGCUGAAUCUAGAAAAUCUACUAGCAGUUAACUCCUUCUGAGUUACGAUGAAACUAUCAAAGGCAAUCACAUCCAUAGUAAAGUAUCCAGUGAGCUUAUUUUCUUUUACCUAUCAUUUACCAACACAUAGGGUCUAAUGUAGCACACACAUUCAGCCCAUUAUCUCAAGAUGUAAGUACUUCAUUGAACUUUUUUAUAGUAGAACUGAUAAUCAAAAUGGAAACUACAUACCCUACAUCAGUAGAUAAGUAACAAUAUAUAUUCAGUAGGAAUGAAUUUUGUAUAGUUAGGGCAUCAAGAGCAAGACUGUGGAAACCAAGAUAGUGAUAAAGCUGUGAGCUGCUGAAUUAGUGAAAGUAGCUGAAAACAGAGCCAUUUUCUGAUGGAGCAAGGUUCCAAAGGGAACCAGAGACUUGAUGCAUUGACACAAAAGCUGAUUACAGGUGUCAAUAGAACCGCUGAAGUGUACCUUUUUUGAUUUUGUAUUCCUCAAAGCAUCUGUCAGGAGUUUCUCCAGUUUUUCUAGCUUAUUAGCAUCUGAGUCAUCAGCAUUGUUUUGAAGAGACCUGCAGGAUUGCACCUAACCAGCUUAGGAAAAAACACAGUAAAUAACAUACUAGAAGAGAUUAUGAAAGGUCUCAAGGGCUACCAAGAAGCAAUCUCUUUAAGCCUUGGCUGUAUGUUUGAAGGGUCACCAUCCUGGUUCAGAACCAAAAGAUCAUGUCAGAAAUAUGCAAGUAUAUAAACAAUCAUAUAAUUUGGCUAUCCUGGAUACAAAAUGGGGUAAAUAGAAUAUAGAUGGCUUAUUUGGACAAACAAGUAGCUACCAAGCAAGACUGUAUUUGUAUUCAUUUUGCUGGUCCUAUGCAUAGGCGACAUAAUCGUUGAUUACAAACACUUCAUCAUGCACAUCAUAUUGCCAUGGAAACUUCAGAAAUGUAAACUGAUUGAAUGAACAGUAUGAUGCUUGGGAGUUAUAUAUUCCACACCUAAACAAGCUGUAAGAUAUGCAAUAAGAAAGCUGUAUAGAUUAUUUUACA